GACGAACGCUGGCGGCGUGCUUAACACAUGCAAGUCGAACGGUGAAGCUCCAGCUUGCUGGAGUGGAUCAGUGGCGAACGGGUGAGUAACACGUGAGCAACCUGCCCCUGACUCUGGAAUAAGCGCUGGAAACGGCGUCUAAUACUGGAUACGAGAAGGGUCCGCAUGGGCACUUUCUGGAAAGUUUUUCGGUUGGGGAUGGGCUCGCGGCCUAUCAGCUUGUUGGUGAGGUAAUGGCUCACCAAGGCGACGACGGGUAGCCGGCCUGAGAGGGCGACCGGCCACACGGGAACUGAGACACGGCCCAGAUCCUAACGGGAGGAAGCAGGGGGAAUAUUGCACAAUGGGCGAAAGCCUGAUGCAGCGACGCCGCGUGAGGGAUGACGGCCUUCGGGUUGUAAACCUCUUUCAGCAGGGAAGAAGCGAAAGUGACGGUACCUGCAGAAGAAGCACCGGCUAACUACGUG
rnacentral:rRNA from 1 species